UGGCAGUGUGCAGCUCUGGAUGGAAAGUGUUCCAUCAGCUGUGACAGUGAGGACAUCAAGUGCUAUCUCAUAGACAACAACGGAUUCAUUCUGGUCUCAGAAGAGUACUUACAGACAGGACUGUUCUUCGGUGAAGUGGAGGGAGCUGUGAUGAACAAGCUGCUCCUUAUGGGGUCUUUUAAAAAGCA